AGAACAAGAAGAAUCGAGAGAGAGGGAGAGCUCGGUGCUCUCUGACCCGAGACGCAGCACGACCCGAGAGAGAGACCGACCGGAACUUCCACGUCCGGCCACCCCACGUCGGCACGCUGCCACCCACGUCUUCGUCUCUGCGUCGCCUACCUCCCUGUAGCCUCUGAUCGUCCAUGCAUCAACUGUGAACGGAGAAUCGACGGCUAGAAGCUCCGAGACUUCUCCGGCGAGUUCUGCAAUUUUCGGGGAUUCCGGCCAUCAUCUGGGCUAUAAUUGCGCCGGCGACUUUUCCGGCAUUUCUGGUCUGGGUUUCGGCUUCAGUUGCAGCUCUAGACGAGAGAUUGUGAAGCUUUCUGGGUUGUAGCAUGAGGGAUCAUCAGCUCAUCACUUUCCCGGUCCCGGCAGUGCUUUGGGCUCGGUUGCAGUCGACUUCCGAAGGACUCCAACUACCCGAGGAACAGAAGGUUCGCGACUCUCGGAGUACGUGAGGGAAAGCAUCGGAAUCCAGGUAGGGAUUCAGGACUCUCCUCGAUUAGUUGUUUUCUUAUAUAUUGUGUUAAAAUGAUGCAUGUAAAGUGAUGUGGCUUGGUUAAGUUAAAAUGCAAAGCAUACUAACCAAACCGUAUGAGGAAUGUGAUGGCUUGAGAGCGAAGGGGGCACUGACUUCCCUGGGUUCGAUCCCCUAAACCUCCGGAGGGUUAGCUACACCGGUCGGAUAAUGAGCGAUCGCAAAGAUGACCUGAUUCCGUGUGUGUAGCUAGGUAGCGGACGCUCUCGCUACGCUUACCCGGUUUACAAAUUAGUUGAGGUAAGGUCGUGUAGUGGGUCUAUGGGACCGGCCAUCGGGUAAGAUUCAGCGCGCAUGUUUACUUGAGUAUCUUGCAUCGAUUUUCGAGUCAGAAAGCAUUUUAUAAAGUUUGUUGUUCUUUUAAAUACUUGGUUUAAGCAUGUUUUCAUACUGGAGCGCUCCAAAUAUUUAUUUGUGAUUUUCAAACCUAGUCGGGUUAGAGUUCCUAUUGAGCAGCGAGGACGAAAGCUCACCCCUACAACAGUAUGGAUUCAGGUACUGUGCACUGGUGACGGGAUAGUGGCGGAUGGAGCUGGGUGUGCAGCAAGUUCGGUAAACCCUUGUCUGGAGUUUGAUCUAAAUCCUUUUUCUAGAACUUCGUGUUUCGGAGCUUGUUGCUAUCUAGCCUCGUGUCAAAUACAGUUGAAUUCUCUUUCAUUGAAAUUCAUACCUCGUGUGAGUCUUUACCCAAGCUUGCUGCCAACCAGUACUCGCG